rnacentral:rRNA from 1 species
AUACGGAGGGUGCGAGCGUUAAUCGGAAUUACUGGGCGUAAAGCGUGCGUAGGCGGAUUAUUAAGCAAGAUGUGAAAGCCCAGGGCUCAACCUUGGAACUGCAUUUUGAACUGGUAGUCUAGAGUACUGUAGAGGGUGGUGGAAUUUCCAGUGUAGCGGUGAAAUGCGUAGAGGUUGGAAGGAACAUCAGUGGCGAAGGCGGCCACCUGGACAGAUACUGACGCUGAGGCACGAAAGCGUGGGGAGCGAACAGGAUUAGAAACCCUAGUAGUCC